rnacentral:tRNA from 2 species
GGAGGGAUGGCUGAGUCCGGUUUAAGGCGCUCGAUUCGAAAUCGAGUGUAGGGCAACCUACCGUGGGUUCGAAUCCCACUCCCUCCGCCA